rnacentral:rRNA from 1 species
UACAGAGGUCUCAAGCGUUGUUCGGAUUCAUUGGGCGUAAAGGGUGCGUAGGUGGCGCGCUAAGUCAGGUGUGAAAUUUCGGAGCUCAACUCCGAAACUGCAUUUGAUACUGGCGUGCUUGAGGAUUGGAGAGGAGACUGGAAUUUACGGUGUAGCAGUGAAAUGCGUAGAGAUCGUAAGGAAGACCAGUGGCGAAGGCGGGUCUCUGGACAGUUCCUGACACUGAGACACGAAGGCCAGGGGAGCAAACGGG